rnacentral:rRNA from 1 species
AGAGUUUGAUCAUGGCUCAGGAUGAACGCUAGCGGCAGGCCUAAUACAUGCAAGUCGAAACGCUCAGUAGCAAUACUGGGAGUGGCGCACGGGUGCGUAACGCGUACACAAUCUACCUCUAAGCGGGGGACACCUCCUGGAAACGGGGAUUAAUACCGCAUAAUAUGCCGAGGUCGCAUGACUUUGGUAUUAAAGCAGCAAUGCACUUAGAGAUGAGUGUGCGUCCCAUUAGGUAGUUGGUGAGGUAACGGCUCACCAAGCCUAUGAUGGGUAGCCGGUCUGAGAGGAUGGUCGGCCACACGGGCACUGAGACACGGGCCCGACUCCUACGGGAGGCAGCAGUAAGGAAUAUUGGUCAAUGGUGGAAACACUGAACCAGCCAUGCCGCGUGGAGGAAUAAGGUCCUACGGAUUGUAAACUCCUUUUGACGAGGAAGAAAGUGUUAGAUUUAUCUAAUUUUGACGGUACUCGUAGAAUAAGCACCGGCUAACUCCGUG